CCAGCUUCGGCCAGAGAGUUGAGAGACAGGGCAAGACAAAACUAAAUUUGCUUAGGAUUCUGGAAGCUGGACAGGGGGGAACCAGGAAAGAGAGACCGGUCCCUGUGCCAACAAAGACCCCCACCUGCAGUCAGGGCCUUCGGGCCUGGACAGUGGACACCGUAAAUGCCAGGGACUUGGGGGAGCAUCCGAGGUGGGCGGAGAAGAGCCCGGGACACCUCGGGUAGAGGGAACCCCUGGAGUCAGCGUGGUGGCCCUGCCCGCCCUGGGGCACGCUGGCGCUGCUGAAAUCCCCAACCCUUGGGGACCCCGAUCGGAGGAGCGCUGGGGAUCUGCUCCAGUGCCCGGCCGCGGGCAUUUUUAAGGGGGGUUUGUCUUGGGCCCACCUUGUGCUUCAUCUGCUCUGGAACAAAAGCCCCGACGGGGUUUUCGGGGGGAGGGGGCAGUGGACACUAGAAUAAAAGCUUUACUUUCACACUGCACGACAGAUGGCCGAAGAAAUCCAAAUGUUCUCGUACAAAACGCGUGGGAGUCACACACCAAACCCCCCAGCCCCCCUGCAGCACGCCGGAGGAUUUCUUCAUAUCCGGACACAUGCUCCGCAGGUACGCACACCUCCACCUGAGUCAGGAACGGCGAUCCAAGUGGCUUCUGAACCCCGCUUCGGCUGGGAUUCUUGGCUCCAGUUCCUCCAGUUUCUUGGGGUGAUCUCGGACCACUCUUUCGAAAGCGUGUCGGUGCCGGAAGUGUGUUUUCUAGUUUUCAAAAGCGAGAUCCCGUGACCUUGGGACAGAACCGACCACGGGGGAGACGACGUGAAACCCGACGGCCUGCGAGCCUAUUUACAUAGAGCUAUGUACAGUGUCAAUAAAUUAAAGUUUAAUUCUCCGAGCAUUCAUAUUCCAUCUAUUUACAAGAGUUAUCAAAUAAUUACAUAAAUACUUUGCUAA